rnacentral:lncRNA from 1 species
AGUUGGAACUAUUUCAGACAUUUGAAGGAAGAUUGGAAAACAUGUUGUUUCCUCAGAUUCAUGUAUGUGAGUCUAAGAUGACUGGAACUUUUAACUGGCUGGAAUACAGAAAAAAUAGGUUCACAUCAUAAUUCAAGACCUCGAACAUUUCUCAUGGAGAGUGAAGAUGCUACAAUAAGGAAGCAUAGUGACACUUUCCCCAAAUUACAUUUGAUUCUACUUUCAAUGAUGGCAUCCACAGAGGGAGGGGCCCUUUGGUUGACCCAAUUAAGUAUAUAUUAUGACCCAUGAUAUGAAACCACAUCCCCACCUUAUUCUCCAUCUUUUUCACUUCUUCAUUUAAGCUCUCAUAAUAUUAUUGUCCCAAUUUUUUUCUAUUAUUUUUCUUAGGAUUUCCUAAACCACACUCUACAAUUCAAGAGGCUAGGUGUCUACAGUGCAGCAGCAGCCUGGCAGCAUUUUAUUAAACUGGAUUUACCCAACCUGUGGCAUUGGGGUCCAGAUUUAUUCGAGAUUUGAAUCACAGAAGAUCUGAAUCAGAACCAGAAGGGACUUUAGUGAUCAUCUAACAUCGUACUGGUUUUCAGCUAUAUUCACUGGAACCAGGUGAGGAAACCAAAGAUAAAAUUUAAGACUGGCCAUGAAAACCAAACACAGACCAGUGCUUUCUUCACUUUUGAGCUUCAUUUUUAGUAGUUUGCAUGAUCUCAUUAGCACCUAAUAAUCUCUGCGAGAUUGGGAUUACUUGUUAUUAUGGGCUAAAUUGUGUCCCCCUCAAAUUCAUAUAUUGAAGUCCCAAUCCCCAGUACCUCAGGAUGUGACUGUAUUUAGAGACAGGGCCAUUAAAGAGGUAAUUAAGGUCAAAUGAGAUCACCAGGGUGAGCUCUAAUCAAAUAUGACUGAUGUCUUUAUAAAAAGAGGAAAUUAGGACACAGACACACUAAGGGAAGACCAUGUGAGGACACAGCAAGAAGGCAGGCAUCAACAAGCCAAGGAAAAAGCCUCAGAAGAAACCAACGCUGAGGAUACCUUGAUCUUGGACUUCCAGCCUCCAAAACAAUGAGGAAAUAAGUUUCUGUUGUUUAAGCCAUCCAGUCUUUGGGUACUUUGUUAUGGCAGCCUGAGCUGACCAAGACAUUUGUAUCCUCAUUUUGCAAAAGAGGAGGCAGACUCAGAAAGGAUUGGACUAACCUAGGUCUUGUGACACUAUUUCCUGUGUUCUUGCUAUUCUGCAACACUCUUACCUGGACCCAUGUGGCUUAUGGUACCUUCCUAUGGCAGGAGGCAGUGAAGGAGCCAAGUCUUUGCAGCUAAAGCAAUGAUGAAGAAACACUAGAUCUGGAGCCAGAAGAGCUGAGUUUGAGUCCUAGCUCAGCCACUUGAGAAGUAUGCACGCUUGGGCAAGACAACCGC